UACAGAGGGGGCAAGCGUUGUUCGGAAUUACUGGGCGUAAAGGGCGCGUAGGCGGCCUGCUAAGUCGAACGUGAAAUCCCUGGGCUCAACCCAGGAACUGCGUCCGAUACUGGUUGGCUUGAAUCCGGGAGAGGGACGUGGAAUUCCAGGUGUAGCGGUGAAAUGCGUAGAUAUCUGGAGGAACACCGAUGGCGAAGGCAGCCUUCUGGGCCAAUACUGACACUGAGGAGCGAAAGCCAGGGGAGCAAACGGG
rnacentral:rRNA from 1 species